AUGCAGUCGAACGGUGUCUUCGGACACAGUGGCGGACGGGUGAGUAACGCCUGUGAAUCUGCCUCUAGGUUGGGGACAACAGUUGGAAACGACUGCUAAUACCCGAUGUGCCGUAAGGUAAAAGAUUUAUUGCCUGGAGAGGAGCUCGCGUCUGAUUAGCUAGUUGGUGGGGUAAAAGCCCACCAAGGCAGCGAUCAGUAGCUGGUCUGAGAGGAUGAGCAGCCACACUGGGACUGAGACACGGCCCAGACUCCUACGGGAGGCAGCAGUGGGGAAUUUUCCGCAAUGGGCGAAAGCCUGACGGAGCAAUACCGCGUGAGGGAGGAAGGCCUUUGGGUUGUAAACCUCUUUUCUCAGGGAAGAAGAUCUGACGGUACCUGAGGAAUAAGCAUCGGCUAACUCCGUGCCAGCAGCCGCGGUAAUACGGAGGAUGCAAGCGUUAUCCGGAAUCAUUGGGCGUAAAGCGUCCGCAGGUGGUUUUUCAAGUCUGCUGUUAAAGACUGGAGCUCAACUCCGGAAAGGCAGUGGAAACUGGAAGACUAGAGUUCGGUAGGGGUAGCGGGAAUUCCCAGUGUAGCGGUGAAAUGCGUAGAUAUUGGGAAGAACAUCGGUGGCGAAGGCGCGCUACUGGACCGAAACUGACACUCAGGGACGAAAGCUAGGGGAGCGAAAGGGAUUAGAUACCCCUGUAGUCCUAGCUGUAAACGAUGGAAACUAGGUGUGGCUUGUAUCGACCCGAGCCGUGCCGUAGCUAACGCGUUAAGUUUCCCGCCUGGGGAGUACGCACGCAAGUGUGAAACUC
rnacentral:rRNA from 1 species